AUUGGGAACGGUGGAACUGGGAAGUGGCAGAGUCUCAGAAUUGGCAUCUCUGGUGGCAGAGUCUCAGAAUUGGCAUCUCUGCUGGGAACUGCGAAGUGAAGACCAUACGUACAUGUGCGUAGUGCGUACAUGAUCCUGCAACUAUUAGUUUUCCAUUGGGAAAAACUCGCAGCACUGAGUGCUUGAAGCGUAUAUCAUUGCAUUUAGUGCUGCGAGUUUUUCCCAAUGGAAGACGCUAUAAGUUUCAAACCGAAAAUUCCAUCGAAGAGAAAUAAUACAAAAUCAAAAGUGCGACUAGAAUUGCAAUGGUUAGGUGCUACAUAUGCUGGAAAGAACAUUCUGUUUUAUUAUCACGGCAAUUUCACAGUUUUCCAUCAGAUGCAGAAAGGCGAGAAAAUGGUUUAAUACCAUUGGUUAUACUGUUGACUACUUACAAAAAUGCAAGAAUUUGCAGUGAAUUGCUAGAACCGUGGAAUGCAGGAUCGACUCAAUCGAGAUUUUUCAUGAAUAUGGAUGACGGUCCAAAAACGAUAAAAAUGCAAACUCUUUACGGACGUCGCAACGAAACGGCAAGUUUAAGACUAACAUUAGAUCCAGAGUGCAGUUAUGCGAUUAAUAUUCAACCCAGUGGAAUCAUCGAUAAGAUUUCUUGUAGAAUAUGGGAUCGUUGGCCGUUGCUUUAUCUAGCGAUUAUCAGUUUACUUUUACUGUUCGUUUCAAUAAGGAUACAUAGUUCAGACAUGAUACCAACUGUAAUUGUUACAAUAGUAUUGUCUUUUUUUCAACGUUACUUAUGAAGCUUGCAUUGCUUUAUGUAUCAUCAGCAUAUCUGCCAUUGCUGUAUGCUGCUGUGUCAUAUUUCUUGGUUCCAUUGCACAUGGAAUAACUGUCAACAUGUGCAAUAACUUUCUCAACAACGUGGUCAGAUUGGUUACUGAAUGGUCUAAAC